rnacentral:lncRNA from 1 species
UAGCAAAAUUGUGUGAUGUGCAUGGACUGUGUGGCGAGAAUGGUAUAUGUGAGUUCUUGCCAAGCUUCAAGUGUUCUUGUCCCCCUGGAUAUGAGAUGAGAGAUCCAACAAACUGGAGCAGAGGUUGUCGUCCACUAUUCAGCAAAAACUGCAGCAAAAUAGAAGAAUAUGAGUUCUUCAAGCUCGCUCAAACCGACUUUUAUGGCUUCGAUCUAAUCAUCAACCAAUCCAUCUCACUUAAAGAAUGUAAAAAGACUUGCUUGGACAUCUGCUCCUGCUCAGCAGUCACGUAUAAGACAGGGUCUGGAACUUGUUACAUCAAAUAUGUACUCUUCAAUGGCUACAGCUCCACAAAUUUUCCGGGUGAUAACUACAUCAAACUACCCAAGAAUAUGGUUUCCAAACAGUCCGAUCUCUCAUGCAACCCAACCAAAGAGAUUGUACUAGGAUCUUCAAGUAUGUAUGGAAUGAAUGAUGCAAAUAAAAAUUAUGCAACCUAUUAUGUGUUUGCAGCAGUAUUGGGAGCUCUAGUGCUAAUCUUCACAGGUACAAGCUGGUGGUUUCUUUACAGCAAGCACAACAUACCCAUGUCAAUGGAGGCAGGCUACAGGAUGGUAACAAGCCAAUUCAGGAUGUUCACGUACCGAGAAUUAAGGGAGGCAACUGGAAAGUUCAAGGAAGAGAUUGGAAGAGGAGCCUCUGGUAUUGUUUACAGAGGAGUACUUGAAGAUAAGAGAGUGAUAGCCGUGAAGAGGCUAAUGAAUAUUUCACAUGGUGAGGAGGAAUUC